UACGUAGGGAGCUAGCGUUGUUCGGAAUCACUGGGCGUAAAGCGCACGUAGGCGGGUUUGUCCGUCAGGGGUGAAAUCCCGGAGCUCAACUCCGGAACUGCCCUUGAUACAGCAAGCCUUGAGUCCGGAAGAGGUAGGUGGAAUUCCUAGUGUAGAGGUGAAAUUCGUAGAUAUUAGGAAGAACACCAAUGGCGAAGGCAGCACUCUGGGACGUGACUGACGCUGAGACGCGAAAGCGUGGGGAGCAAACAGG
rnacentral:rRNA from 1 species